rnacentral:rRNA from 1 species
AUUCCAGACUCCUACGGGAGGCAGCAGUGGGGAAUAUUGCACAAUGGGGGGAACCCUGAUGCAGCGACGCCGCGUGGGUGAAGGAGCACCUCGGUGCGUAAAGCCCUAUCGGCAGGGAAGAAACAGACGGUACCUGACUAAGAAGCCCCGGCUAACUACGUGCCAGCAGCCGCGGUAAUACGUAGGGGGCAAGCGUUAUCCGGAUUUACUGGGUGUAAAGGGAGCGUAGACGGCAGCGCAAGUCUGGAGUGAAAUGCCGGGGCCCAACCCCGGAACUGCUUUGGAAACUGUGCAGCUGGAGUGCAGGAGAGGUAAGCGGAAUUCCUAGUGUAGCGGUGAAAUGCGUAGAUAUUAGGAGGAACACCAGUGGCGAAGGCGGCUUACUGGACUGUAACUGACGUUGAGGCUCGAAAGCGUGGGGAGCAAACAGGAUUAGAUACCCGCGUAC